GGCGCUAUUUACGCUAAAAUACGAAAUAUAGUAAUACUAUUAAAUGGCAGUGAGGCAGUGUUGACGUUUCUAGCGCAAAAGCGACUACCUGAACGCGCCUUUAGUCGGUGUAUACUUUACAAGAGAGCAUAGCCAUGCUACGCACAGCGGAUGAGCCUCUGUGGGAUGCAAUCCAAAAUCUGCUGCCAUCGAAGGAACAAUCCUGUGUACCGAAGUAGCGUUGCAAAAGUGUUGCUAGGCAGCUAUAGCGGAUUUAGGUGUCAACAGUAGUUGUAUUAUCAACCUGUAAAAUUAUGACAAGCAGAUAUCAACUUUUUUUCAUGGAUUUAUUCAUUUAUAUGGCUAUAUCUGUAUGUAUAAUAAAAACCAAUUGAGAGUUCAACAAUUUCA